rnacentral:rRNA from 1 species
ACAGCAGCAGCCACGGUAAUCCGAAGGGUGCAAGCGUUAAUCGGAAUUACUGGGCGUAAAGCGUGCGUAGGCGGUGAGUUAAGUCUGCUGUGAAAUCCCCGGGCUCAACCUGGGAAUGGCAGUGGAUACUGGCUCGCUAGAGUGUGUCAGAGGAUGGUGGAAUUCCCGGUGUAGCGGUGAAAUGCGUAGAGAUCGGGAGGAACAUCAGUGGCGAAGGCGGCCGCCUGGGACAACACUGACGCUGAGGCACGAAAGCGUGGGGAGCAAACAGGAUUAGAUACCCCAGUAGUCCCUGUCUCUUAUAA